rnacentral:rRNA from 1 species
CCGGCGCACGGGUGAGUAACACGUAUCCAACCUGCCGUCUACUCUUGGACAGCCUUCUGAAAGGAAGGUUAAUACAAGAUGGCAUCAUGAGUCCGCAUGUUCACAUGAUUAAAGGUGUUCCGGUAGACGAUGGGGAUGCGUUCCAUUAGAUAGUAGGCGGGGUAACGGCCCACCUAGUCUUCGAUGGAUAGGGGUUCUGAGAGGAAGGUCCCCCACAUUGGAACUGAGACACGGUCCAA